rnacentral:rRNA from 1 species
UACGUAGGGUGCAAGCGUUAAUCGGAAUUACUGGGCGUAAAGCGUGCGCAGGCGGUGAUGUAAGACAGAUGUGAAAUCCCCGGGCUCAACCUGGGAAUUGCGAUGAAGACUGCAAGGCUUGAAUCUGGCAGAGGGGGGUAGAAUUCCACGUGUAGCAGUGAAAUGCGUAGAGAUGUGGAGGAACACCGAUGGCGAAGGCAGCCCCCUGGGUCAAGAUUGACGCUCAUGCACGAAAGCGUGGGGAGCAAACAGG